rnacentral:rRNA from 1 species
UACUAUGGCCAUGCUACCCUGAACGAGCCCGAGCCUGUCUGAUCUUGGAAGCUAAGCAGGAUCGGACCUGGUUAGUACUUGGAUAGGAGACCACCUUGGAAGAUCAGGUGCUGUAGGUG